ACGCGAUCCUUAAUAAAAAAACAGCGAAAAAGUAAAAAUGAAAUCACUGUCAGAAUAUUUGGCAGAAAAAAUAUCGAAAUUUUUUAGUAUUCGUAUAAGUUUCUUUGCGGUAUCUUCAAGUUUUCAUAUAAUGGACGUACUAAAGAUUUUUCGGAUGCAAGAGCCCAUCCCCAGAGAAAUUUUAAAUAAGAAGCCUGAAUUAAAUAAAGUUGAAAAAAAUUCAUACGCCGCUAGAAAUACAAUCCGGGAAUAUGAGAAGUUUUACUACAAAGUUAUAAGCGAAAGUCAAGAAAUAAUAAACCAGAAGAAAGAGCUGGAGUUUAAACUUCAAGAAAUGCAAAUAUUCUGCACUGAUUUGAUGGAAAAAUAUAAUAAAGCUAAGGUCGUUAUUAACCAGUACGAGGAAAUACAAAAUAAAUAUAAAAAACAAGUUGCGGAGCAAAAUAAAAUUAUAAAUUCAUUGACGGCAGAGCACACUAAGCUUAAGGAAUGCGUGCAAAAGAAAGUAAAGGAAACUGACAAAAAACCUUGUGUACCGCAACGAGAACAAGUAAAACUUUUGGAAAAGAUUCAAAAAGGUAGAAAGGAGCUAAGCAAAAGUAUGCUAGAACCCCUAAAAGGGUUAGGAGAUUCUUAAUAAUUUAAUAAUUGACUAUUAUUAAAACUCAUUAGUAAAUUUUAAUGUUAGUGCCUGUGGAUUUUUUAAAUUCUUAAUUAAAGAAGAAUUAAAAGAUAUUUUUAAAAUGUUUAAAUCAGUUUUUUUUAUUACAUAUAAUUAUAACAAUGUCGACAGAUGCUUUGUUAAAAUUACGAAACAGUUUUACCACUAACCAAAACUCUUUAUUUUAAUCUCGACACGUGUUUCGCUAACGAUGUUAGCAUCUUCGAGAGAAGAUUGAAAGCAUACGUUAAAAGACAAAUAUGCCCAGCCAAUAAGAAUCGAAGGCGGGACCAAAAACCGAUUGAUCCCUUCGUUUACGUCCGUAAAAAUUCGCGUGCGAAUCACAUAUUACUUUUGUUUUGUUUUCUCUAACCUAGAUUGCAAAUUUUGUUUGUUUUGCUUCCUAAAUGAUUUAAUUAUGAUCGAUAAUUAUUAUUAUAUCGAUUUUGCGACUAUUUUGAACAAUCAUAGUGUUUGGUGUUGACUCUCUUAUCUAUAAUAUUCGGUUCUACGCUAAUUUUGAGUUAAAAACAAACAUUUUAGUAUAUGACUUUCAAUUUCUGAUAAAUUUUACAGUGAUUUUUUUACUGUAUAAUUUCUUUUUUAGCUGCUGCAGUACCUGUUUACGAUAAUUAUGGCACUAAAGUAAGAUAUAAUUUUUUUAGUUAUAAUCUGAAUUAUGUAUUUUCUAGUCAACGUGUAUGCAAUCUGCAAAGUAUGUGAGAAGGAUUUUUCAAGCAUAUCGAUGAGAAACAGACAUCUUAAGAAGUUUCACCAAGAAUUUGUUAGCCAGGAAUACAAGAAACACAUUACAUGUCUAAUGUAUACCAACAGUACCCAGGAAUUUUGAAUAAUAUACCUCUUGGAGGGCACAAAGUAAUAGGGAGAUUGAUACUGAUUGUCACAUCCGAAAUAAAUUUAAGAAUGGAGAAGAACAUAUAUUAUACAAUUAUAACAGGAGCGACAUAAAAGAUUCAAUAUCUCAU
rnacentral:lncRNA from 1 species